CUGCGCGGCCAGUCGGGAGGGCGGAAGGAUGCUUUGAGGGAGGCUUCGGUGCUGGUUGCAGGUGGUGCUGCGAGAGUGGGGAAUCCUCGCCUCCCAGGUCAGUUUGGAGACAGCCUGAGGUGAACAAUGGGCAGUGCUUUGGAACCUGUAGGGCACUUCCCACCUGGUUCUCAUUUGGAGCACUCACAGCUGGGCACCUGCUGGGGUUGAAAUCCUGGCUUUCCCCUCCCCCACUACGUGACGCUGGCUCUGUGAAGGAAGACCCUGACUACUGCACUCUUACAGCUGAGGAGAUGGAAGCACUGGGAGGUCAAGGCCCUGCUCAAGAGUUUGCAGCCGGUGAAUAAUGCAAUUCUACAGAUCUAUCAAUUGUCACCUGGCAGAGUUUUGGUUAAGAUGAGAUUCUGGUAAACAAAGACUUUAAUCAAGUAUUGGUACAAUAAAUGUAUGUGAACUAGCAUUCUUGUAUUGAAGUUAAAAAACUAAAUAAAAUACAGAGCCUGAUGUGAGCCUGCAAUUUUCUCUCUUAAUACCAACACCAAUGGUUUAGUUUCAGCAAAACAAAAACAUU